GAUUUCUGACGAACCGGAGUGGCCCGUUUUCAUUUCGGAAAUGAGUGCCGCUUUGAGUUUGUCAUCCUUCCAGAGAGCUGCGUCUACCGUUUACUCGGCCGGACGUAUGCGAUCUGGAUCUAUUACUUUGAAAAAAUUAGAGUGUUUAAAGCAGGCUUAUGCUGUGAAUACAUUAGCAUGGAAUAAUAAUUUAGGACUUUGGUUCUAUUUUGUUGGUUUCUAGGACUGAAGUAAUGAUUGAUAGGGAUAGUUGGGGGUGCUAGUAUUGGCCGGCCAGAGGUGAAAUUCUUGGAUUCGGUCAAGACUAACUUAUGCGAAAGCAUU
rnacentral:rRNA from 1 species